rnacentral:lncRNA from 1 species
CCUACUCUAAUAAGGCUUUAAUAUCUGGAGCUCAUAGGUGGGAGAUAAAAUAUACAUACUUACAAGACAUGUAUUGUAUAGUCAAACCAUGGAUCCAAAGAAACAAAUCAAUAAGUCAAAUCAAGAUGUGCAUGUGUGGCGAAUGAGUGGUGUAUGGUGAUGAUGGUGAUAACAAUGGUGGAAAUCUAAUUCUACUUUUGCUCUUUGAGGGGAUACAUACCUUCCUUGCUUUUUGAAACAUUUUGAGGAGAAUGAGAUGCUCUUCUUUUUCUUUUCUCUCAGGUGGGUAUCUUGUACCCCUAAUUCUACUGUCGGACACUUGUCCAUUUUUACCUCUCGUCUCACUCUUUUUCUUUUCUUUCGAGGUUCCGGGCACUUGCCCCUUUUUAUUUCCUCGUAUCUCUUUUUUUUAAGCACUCAUCUCUUGAGAUAAUAUAGCAAGUGGUAGUAACAAGAUAACUUGAGCAUUUAUUUCACAAGGGAAAAACAGAAAUGUUUUUGGCUAUUCUCUCCCGAACUAGGAGUAGAAUAUUUUUAGGUGAUUCUGGAGAUGGAAAUGGAUGGAUAUAUGUGGAUGGUACUUCCAGAGUAGAAGUAGCAUAUAUGAGUGAACGUGCAAGUGAAUCUUGAUUUAACCACAUGACAAGCUCCUAAGGGUCUACACAGCUUGACCACACUCAAUGCUCAUAAGCAGUAAAAAGUAAAUGUAUGGCUCAAAGUCUAGCAAGCAUGUAUAUAUGGCUAUUGUAGGAAUUUAAACUCUCAUCAUACAGGAACUCAUCAUGCAAUAUUUUAAAGAUUUUCAAAGAUAAAAUUCUCCAGAAUUCUAGCAUCUCUAGGAACAGAUAAACAUCAGCUCAACCUUCCCAUAUCAUAUCCGUUAACAACUUAGACUUCACAUCAAGUUUUCAUCCCACAAGUUUAGGUCUAGAGCAAGCUUUAAAUUAUAACAGUUAUAUCUAAACUUGAGAGAGAACUUAAAAUGUGCAAAUUAGGUAGAGCAACUAUUCAUCAUAUCCAUGCUAGAGUUUUAUUUAGAUAC